AGAGGUCAGCCCUCGGGGCUGUGCAGGCUGCCUUCUUGGGUCUGCUGGGUGCUCAGGCCAUCCCACUUCCUCCGGAGCAGAGGGGCAGCUGGCGGUGCUGGGCAUGUGUCCUUAGACUCCAGGGUGGUGAGCUCUGGAAACAGGGGCCCCAGGCAGCCACAUGCUGGGGCGGGUGAUUUACGGAGGUCGAAAUUGAACCCUUAGCUCCCCUCCCCUGAAGGCCGGCGCCGGGGGAGCUGGAAGCAGCCGCUGGGAGCAGGCCCCCUCCCCUGUCCUGGCUGCUUGUCCAGCCUGUGGUGUCCAGCCCUUGGGGCCACGGCAAGCCCCCCUUCGGGAUAGCUUCUGCCAGACUCCAGGAGUCCUGUGCCCACAAACCCUGGGGGAGGCCGGCCCAGUAUCCAGCCUGUGAGAUUUCAUUCCCCAGAGGUUCAUUCAGGAAUUUUCUGUCUCAAUUCUACUGUAAUAAAAUGCGAAUUCCUCUGAAAGCAUCACGGGGCUCAGAAGGGGUCCUGCCGUUUUCAGACAUCGAAAGUGGCGCUGCCGUUCCCCCAGCAGGUUUGUGACUCUUGAUGAAUUCACGAGGGACCCCCUCCGGGAAAAGCAGGCCACCCGAUCCAGGUCAGGCAGCCACGACCGCAUUUGUCUCUCUCCCCAGCGCCCCAGGCUGGACCACGCAGCUUUUCCACCAGAUCUGGGCAUCUCCUUCCCAUAACCGUCUCCAUCAGCAGCGGAUGGGGAUUUCCCACCCGAAAGGCCAUCCCGGAAGCAACGGGUUUCAAAAACACGAGGAUCCCAAAGACUUCGUGUGAGUCCAUCCGCAUGAAACGUUCAGAGGAGGCAACUGUGUAGAGCUGUGGAGACAGAAAGAAAACGAGGGUUUGUCCAGGCUGGGGGGAAGGAAGGAGGUGGGAAUGACGGACGAUGGGCACCGGUGGGCACCGGUGGGCACCGAUGGGCACCGAUGGGCACCGAUGGGCACCGGGCACUUCUGGAACAUUGAACGUGUUCUAGAAUUCCGUCAUGAGCGGUUACACCACUAAAUGCCACUGAAUUUUGUACUUUUCAGUGAGAGAACUUGGGGUGUAUUAGCAUCUCAGUAAAGCCAUCGGAGAUUUUAAGUCCCAGGGGAAGAUGUUCCUGAUGGUGUUGGCCAGUGGUGUUUCGUGUUUGCGUUUCAACCGUAUCUCAAUAAAGCUCUUUCUUCUUUAAUCCCCACACAGGAGUGGACGCAGUGAGAGGACCAAGGAAAGACACCAGAACAUGAACAGCAGCUUUGUGUGGGGGAAGGAGUCGCAAACGGCCAGGCAGGAUCUGUCCAGAGUCAGGUGGAGGCCCCCACGGCCAAGCCCCGGGACCAGCCCAUCCCUGCCCCAGGCAGGACCCUAUGACUCACCCACGAAGGCACAGAGCGUCGGGCAGCCAGGGGUCAGCUCCUCCCUGGGGAGGGAAUGUGGCCCGGCCGGCCGGGCAGGCAGGUGAGGCGGGCCAGCAGGUAUGGUGGGCGGGUGAGCCCCACUCGGGCUGGGAGCUUUGGUGGGUUCCCCUCGAGGCAAACGGGCAGGGAAGUCAGGCAGGAGACCGCGGGAACUACCCACCAAGCGGGCGGGCUCGGCACUCCUCCCUCCUUCAUUCCCGAGGAGAGUGGUCACCCCUGGCAGCCCAGCCUGGCCUGGUAGCCUUGCCCAGCAGCAGAGCAGGGAGGGUUUGCUCACGACCCUGCAGGACAGGUCAGGCGGCGAGGCUGGUGGGGGAGGGAAUCCACGAGGGACCCGGCCUAAUUCUCACACCAGACGCCCCGCAAAGCCGCAGCCCCCCUGAGUUUCUGUUUUGAGGGUCUGGAGCCCAGGGCUGUGCAAGAGAGCAAGCAAAGUGAGUCACGGUGGGUGGUUGGAUGGGCGGAUGGACGGACGGACGGACGGACGGGUGACAUGAGACAGGGGUCCUCCACGCCACCUCCGGCUCGCAGCAGGCACACAAGGCCUUGUAAGGAGAAGUGCCCGGGGAGCAGGGUCAGCACUCCAGGCGUUGCCUGAGUCACUUGGUUAUUCCUGGCCACGGAGGACAUCCAAGGCAGGAGUGGGGCUGAAUGAGGGGCCGCCGGGCCGCCGGGAGCUUGGUGAGGCCCGUGGUGAGGAAGUGCAGCCCCGGGGGGCGUGGAGGGAAAGCCUGGGAGGAGGUUUGCAGAAGGCACCUGGGCGGGCCGGGGGUCAGUGUUCCACACGGGGGCCCGCGUCCCAAUCACAGACACGCAGAGCCGACGUCUUGGCCUGCUCGGAGCUGAGGAGCUGGUCGGCCCUUCUCACGUCCCGGCCGACUCAGGCACAGAGAUGUGACCGUGCAUAAGGAGCCACAAUUAUCCCUCCCUUCCACUGCCCUGUCUCGGUCCUGGCUGGUGCGGGGGGAGGAGGGGCAGAUUG